UACGUAGGGGGCUAGCGUUGUCCGGAUUUAUUGGGCGUAAAGAGCGUGUAGGCGGCCAGGUAGGUCUGCUGUGAAAACUCGAGGCUCAACCUCGAGACGUCGGCGGAAACCAUCUGGCUAGAGUCCGGAAGAGGAGAGUGGAAUUCCUGGUGUAGCGGUGAAAUGCGCAGAUAUCAGGAAGAACACCCGUGGCGAAGGCGGCGACCUGGUCCAUUACUGACGCUGAGGCGCGACAGCGUGGGGAGCAAACAGG
rnacentral:rRNA from 1 species